GACGGAGGGGCAAGCGUUGUUCGGAAUUAUUGGGCGUAAAGGGCUCGUAGGCGAUCCGCCAGUUUGACGUGAAAUCUCCACCGCUCACCGGGGAGGGCCGGUUGAAUACUACGGAUCUGGAGUUCGGCAGAGGACCAUGGAAUUUCGGGUGUAGCGGUGAAAUGCGCAGAGUAUCAGGAGGAACACCCGUGGCGAAAGCGGCUCUCUGGGACGGUACUGACGCUGAGACGCGAAAGCGUGGGGAGCAAACAGG
rnacentral:rRNA from 1 species